CCGACCAUGGCCUGGCGCAAAUGACAUGAAUCGUACAUAGCGAACGAUGCGUAGUACUCGUCCAAGUUGCCGCUUUUUUCCAACCCCCCUCGAACUGGAGUAUUUUGAUCCGGCGUGGACCAGAGUAAUAUGUUAUUUUUUUGUUCCUCCGCUUCUAUUUUUGUUUCUCUUUUCGUCUUCCUUUUUCCUACAUUUUUCAAAUAACACGAAGCAUUUUUUAGAAGACACAAAAUUAGUUACAUGAACAUUUUCCCUAAAAUACACAAACAUUUUAUAUUUUAUAACGUAUGAAAUAUUAUUGUAUAUAUUGUUCAAAAUUAGUUUUUAGUUCUACAUAUGUAAAAAUAAAAAACCAGGCUUAUCUAUUUAGUGGGCCGCAUUUAACCUAGCCCAUUAGCUUAAAAACGAUCUUAAAUAGGGGUAUCCUAUUAUAUUUAAGUAAUGGAAAACGAUCUUGUGUGUUCUAUAUGAUACUGUGAUGGAGAAUUAUAAAAAAUCAGGUAGGGCACCCUAUAUUCGAGUGUAACAUUUUAGUAUGGCAAACUAGGCCUCCGAGCAAGUUUUCUUUUUCAUUAUACCGCCUUUUCUCCUGUCCCAGUGAAAGUUCUAAAAGUGCCCUAAUAGUAUCUCAAAUGCUGGUACUAUUACAUAGUUACUAUAUAGGCUAUAUAUACUGCUAAGUGAAUGAUUGGACAUGAUUGCGGGUUUUUUCUUGACAAUUAGAAUCAAUAGCAUGGAAGCUGAAGUAGCAUUCAGACAUGAUUCUAUUGCUCAUAGAGGCCAUAUUUGUGUCUCUGAGAAAGCUUGUUUGCUUAUCAAAUAGGAGUACAUAUUUUUGCUAUUGUGACUUUGCACAUAAAAACACAUUGCAAGGAUAGAUAUCAGACAAAUGAGCAUGCAAGUUGGCCUCCACGAAUUAUUGCUCUUUAGCUCUCCUUAUUAAAGAUCAAAUUAUCCGGUUCACUAAUUUAAAUGAUUUUGCAGGUACUGAUUCUUCUCCAAGAAGGGUUAUCAGGGGAGGAGGGGCAUACAGAGGCAGGGCACAAAUGGACACGCAAAUGUAGAGGUGAGCAAGACCACCCAGUAGCAAUUUAUUUUUGUGUGACCUUCUGAGGUUUCUAAUGUACUGUGUGUUGCUAGCAACUUAUGAAGGCUUUCCUUUGAUUCCUAACAUGCAUGAUUUCUCUUAAUACAAGAAUUAUGUAUACAUUUUCACAAGCUUGUUUGCCUGUCAAAUCUAAGCUUUGUUUUAUCAGUCACUCCACCCAAUUAAUGUGAACUAUAAUGAUUAAUCAUGUAAAUACAUAUUACUGGAAAAUUCGCUCAAAAUGGUUACUUGAGGAGUUUGGUGUUUUAGCUUGUUUAAAUGUACUUGCAGGUUGAUUUUUCUGCAGAGUUUGUGAACUAGGACUGCACAGGACUGUACGGGCAGGUGAGCUCAACCUCCUCUCUUUUCAUUAUCUCUAUUGUGCAUGUCUAUACAUAAUAUGUUAGCGCAACAUAAACCAUGAGCUGUCUAGUGAAUUAGUUGACAAUAAAUCAUGAGCUGUCUAGUGAAUUAGUUUUCUCCUAUCCUAGUGAAAGUCCUAAAAGUGCCAUAUCUCAAAUGCUGGUACCAUUACAUAGUUACUAUAUAAGCUAUAUAUACUGCUAAGUGAAUGACUGGCCAUGAUUGCGGGUUUUUUUUUCUUGACAGUUAGGAUCAAUAGCAUGGAUGCUGUAGUAGCAUUCAGACAUGAUUCUAUUGCUCAUAGAGGCCAUAUUUGUGUCUCUGAGUUUGCUUAUCAAAUAGGAGUACAUAUUUUGCUAUUGUGAGUUUGCACAUUAAAACACAUUGGAAGGAUGAAUAUCAGACAAAUGAGCAUGAAAGUUGGCCUCCUCAAAUUAUUGCUCUUUAGCUCUCCCAAUUAAAGAUCAAACUAUCCGGUUCACUAAUUUAAUAUGAUUUUGCAGGUACUGAUUCUUCUCCAAGAAGGGUUACCAGGGGAGGAGGGGCAUACAGAGGCAGGGCAUAAAUGGACAUGCAAAUGUAUAGAGGUGAGGACCACCACCCUGUAAUAUGUAAAAUGCUNNNNNNNNNNNNNNNNNNNNNNNNNNNNNNNNNNNNNNNNNNNNNNNNNNNNNNNNNNNNNNNNNNNNNNNNNNNNNNNNNNNNNNNNNNNNNNNNNNNNNNNNNNNNNNNNNNNNNNNNNNNNNNNNNNNNNNNNNNNNNNNNNNNNNNNNNNNNNNNNNNNNNNNNNNNNNNNNNNNNNNNNNNNNNNNNNNNNNNNNNNNNNNNNNNNNNNNNNNNNNNNNNNNNNNNNNNNNNNNNNNNNNNNNNNNNNNNNNNNNNNNNNNNNNNNNNNNNNNNNNNNNNNNNNNNNNNNNNNNNNNNNNNNNNNNNNNNNNNNNNNNNNNNNNNNNNNNNNNNNNNNNNNNNNNNNNNNNNNNNNNNNNNNNNNNNNNNNNNNNNNNNGAUUAUUGAUAGAAGGUACAUCUGUCAUGUAUAAAGUUAGAUUUGACUCACAGCCUAAAAAACCAAAUAAUAAUAAUAAUACAUAUCCUGCUAUGAAAUAGAGAAAGUCACUAUUCACACGAGACUUGAAAUUCCUACUGUCUACAACAUGGCCUUUUCUCUUGUUUUUCAAAAAAAAAAUAGGAAAAGAGUGAUACAGAUCACUCAGAUGGCACAUUACAAUCAGUAAUUAGGAUAUCUCUAAUCACUUCUGGCACAGCAUUUACCAUAUACAUGUCUCCAUUUGCCUUUGCAAGAUCGGCCAACAUGUGGGCCACCUUGUUCUGGUCCCUUCUGAUCAGACUGAAUUGAUAGUCUUGGAAAAGUUUCAGAGCUUCUGUUAUGUCACAUAUAGUCGGGUAACAGGCUGAUUUGCUCAUCUUGCCUGGAUCCAGCUCAUUUACCAACACGGAGCAGUCCGUCUCAAUUAUCACACGGCCUCUGAACAUGUUUUUUUUUUUUUUGGAAUAGCCUCUGAACAUGGUUGACAGUGUCUUGAUUCCCUCCAGCAUAGCUUGCGCCUCUGCUUCCUCCACUGUCACACUCGAAUUGACCUGCUUUGCCAAUGAGAAAAAACGGCUGCCCCCUGCGGUCUCUUGCAAUGGCCCCAGCAGUACUCACCCCGGAGUCAGCCGAGUAACCAGCGUCGGUAUUUAACUUCACCCAACCAUCCUCAGGGGGAAUCCAUCUAGUAAUAUUGUGUGUGGAAGCUUUUGCAGUCUGUACUGACGGAGAUUGCUUGUUCUCCUGGUGCCGAUCAUCUGGGAAACAGGGGGUGUAGAACCACUGUUGCACAGCCUCUUUCCCUGAACCUGCUAGCGAACCAUGGCCACCAACACCCAGUUCAGCAACGUGUUGCUCCAGAAACGCUGCCGAUUGGCCUACUGUCUCUUUCCCCGACUUAAAAAUGCAGUCAUUUCUCAGGCGCCAACAACGCCAGAGAAGAAGUAGAAUUUUUGCCCGGGUUUCAGUGCUGCAUGUAGAUAACAGAUUCUGCAGCCAAUCCUCUCCCGACUCCUGGAAUAUAUUUUCACCUGGGAGCUCCCACAGUGCAGGCCUUGCUUUUUGUGCAUGCCACCACAGCAGGAAAUUCAUUUUCCUCCACACAGCCGCAAAUACUACAAACACUGCUGAUCUCCAGCGAGCGCUUCCACCUAUUCUUCUUUGUAGCCAGUGUGCCUGUAGCGACCCUCCAGCUGAAUACUCUACUCUUGCAGGAACUUUGGACUUCCAAAUAAUGUCCCAAAUACUUCAGCCAUACGGCUCGUUAGACGAACAAGAAGCACGAGUUCCACUUUGAGAUUUGAGAGAGUAUGCCAAUUUGUAGGCGCUCUUAACAGUAAACAUACCUGUUUUUUUCAUAGUUCCAAGCCAGACAAUCCUCCACAUUUGCCCUUGGAAUUUUAAUGUUACAUAUUGCCUCCGCAUCAAACGUAGAAGAUCUGGUUAAUUUCUUGCAUCUUUUGUUUUUCAAGAAAGGGUUAAAUCUGGAUACUGAAAUUUCUUGCAUGCUAGGCUCAUAGUUCACCACGUUGUUCUGUGAUUUUUGUGUGACCUUCUGAGGUUUCUAAUGUACUGUGUGUUGCUAGCAACUUAUGAAGGCAUACUAGCUUUCCCUUGGUUCCUAACAUGCAUGAUUUCUCUUAAUACAAGAAUUAUGCAUAUAUUUUCACAAGCUUGUUUGCCUGUCAAAUCUAAGCUUUGUUUUAUCAGUCACUCCACCCAAUUAAUGUGAAUUAUAAUGAUUAAUCACGUAAAUACAUAUUACUGGAAAAUGACUCGCUCAAAAUGGUUACUUUAGGAGUUUGGUGUUUUAGCUUGUUCAAGUUGCUUAAAUGUACUUGCAGGUUGAUUUUUCUGUGGAGUUUGUGAACUAGGACUGCACAGGACUGUACGGGCAGGUGAGCUCAACCUCCUCUCUUUUCAUUAUCUCUAUUGUGCAUGUCUAUAUAUAAUAUGUUAGCGCAACAUAAGUCAUGACCUGUCUAGUGAAUUAGUUGACAAUAAAUGUUGUAAACAAUAAAUGAAAGACAUUACGAAAAAUGAAAAAGGCACACACUUGUCAACGAUAAAGCAAAGUUUUCGUGGGUAUACCUGUAAAACAGCGCUAAGACCUCACCUUUUAGAAAUAAUUACAAUUAUGAAAACAUGGAUCAAAUUGCUGAAUUGAAUAAAUUUGGUGCUAUCAUAUACCCACCAUGUUCACGACUAGAGGUAAGCGGAACCAAAUCAGUGACACCUGUUAUAGGGUGAACCACCACCUCUGAAAAUGUAUUAUGCGAAAAUGAUUCCCUCAAUCAAAUUGGCUAGUUGAAGUUAGAGUUUGAUGUUUUAGUUUGUUUGACUUUAAAUUGGCCAGUGGGCCGCAUUUAAGCCAGCCCAUUAGCUUAAAAAUUAUCUUAAAUAGGGGUAUCCUAUAUUUAAGUAAAGGUAAACGAUCUUGUCUGUUCUAUAUGAUACUGUGAUGGAGAAUUAUAAAAAAUUAAGUAGGGCAUCCUAUAUUUGAGUGUAAAAUUUUAUUAUGGCAAACUGGUCCUCCGAGCAAGUUUUCUUUUCCAUUAUACUGCCUUUUCUCCUAUCCCAGUGAAAGUCCCAAAAGUGCCCUAACAGUAUCUCAAAUGCUGGUACUAUUACAUAGUUACUAUAUAAGCUAUAUAUACUGCUAAGUGAAUGACUGGCCAUGAUUGCGGUUUUUUUUCUUGACAGUUAGGAUCAAUAGCAUGGAUGCUGUAGUAGCAUUCAGACAUGAUUCUAUUGCUCCUAGAUGCCAUAUUUGUGUCUCUGAGAAAGCUUGUUUGCUUAUCAAAUAGGAGUACAUAUUUUGCUACUGUGAGUUUGCACAUUAAAACACAUUAGAAGGAUAAAUAUCAGACAAAUGAGCAUGAAAGUUGGCCUCCUCAAAUUAUUGCUCUUUAGCUCUCCCUAUUAAAGAUCAAAGUAUCCAGUUCACUAAUUUAAUAUGAUUUUGCAGGUACUUAUUCUUCUCCAAGAAGGGGGGUUACCAGGGGAGGAGGGGCAUACAGAAGCAGGGCACAAAUGGACAUGCAAAUGUAUAGAGGUGAGCAAGACCACCCUGUAAUAUGUAAAAUGCUUAGCCAAACAUGUUCUCGAUACCCCCCAAAAUUCAUAAUUUGUUUUUGGCAAAAUUUGAUAAUAUUGAUAGAAGGUACAUCUGUUAUGUAUAAAGUUAGAUUCAACUCACACCCUAAAAAACCAACCUGCAAAUACAUAAGCAAGUUGAACAAGCUAAAACACCAAACUCCUACAGAAUCUGUCUUCUGGUCAUCCAAGUCCCAGUAGUGUUUCUUUAGGAUUGUUUUUUGCCUCUUAAAUAGCCAAGAAUAUUGUUUCUGGAAGAGUGGAGUUACAUGUAGUGUGAUCAUGUUGUUCACUGAACUGAAUAUUGUGCAAACUGCCAGUUUAACUAGCUCAUUUAGAAUCUAUUUGAAUAAAACUGAGAAGCGGCAUACAGGAAUGACUGAAAAUUUCAUUUUUACAAGAUUACUAGCUACAUUUGUUGAGUUCAUGUUUGUGCUUAGGGUGUAGAGUCGUAGAGAAAUGAUUAUGUAAAUAAGGCUAAAUUUCAGCUCUUGCUUCUUGAAUUGCAUCACUUUUCAUGUCACUAACUUGCUGCUCAUCUAUCCUUUUCAGGUCACGCCGUCGUGGCUGCACUGGUUCUUCUUACCACCGUCACUGCAGCAAGCCCAACUGGCUACUGGGGUUACCUCUGUGAUGGUGGGAACUACAGUGCGCCCAGCAAGUACCAGCAGAACCUUGAACAGCUCUCCGCCACGCUGCCUGAAGCAGUCGCCUCCUCCCCCUCUUUGUUCCACACGCAGGCAGUUGGCCCUAGCCAGGAUAGAGCAUAUGCUCUGGCAAGAUGCCGCGGUGACACAGAGGCCGACGACUGCAAGAGAUGCCUUAGACAGGCCUUCCAGGAUGCCCGGGCUGUUUGCACGUUCAGGAAGGGUGCUUCGAUCUUCUACGACACGUGCAGUCUCGGGAUCGCUGAGAAGAACAUCACAAUUCAUCUUGGAGAUUUGCAAGAAGCUUUUAGGAUGGAUGGUCCCCAGGUCCCUGCCCAGUGCAAAGCGUUCAACAAGUCUGCUAGCGAACUGCUGGCUAAUUUGACAAUGAAGGCAUCAGACGAUCCUAAAAGGUAUGCCACGGGAGAAAAGGAUCUUGGUGAAGUUGGCUGCACGUACAAGUUGUACGGUCUUGCCGAGUGCCUACCUCAAAUGCCAGCUGCUCAGUGCCGGGUCUGUUUGCAAGACUUGAGUACUGCACCAGGCCUGAGAAGGCAGGUAGGCGAGCGCAAGGCGACACUCUGGUGCGGUUAUCGGUUGGAACAAAACCGAUUCUUCAAGGAUACGAAAGGUGAGUUACCAUGAGAUGCAGAAUUGAAUGCUUCUUCUGUUGGUCAUAUACUCAUAUUCUUUUCCUUGGAUAAUGUGUCAAAUACACACAGGAGGACACAAGAACACGAUUCUUUGGAUUGUGCUUGGCGUACUCGGAGGCGCAGUGCUACUGGCAAUCGCCUUGCUACUUUGGUGGUGGAUUCCGGUACGUUUUUCCCGAUUCUCGAUAAUCCAACUAAUGAUGUACUGCCUCUGUUGCCAAAUAUUUGUCUUUUUAGAGAUUUCAACAAGUGACUACAUACAAAGCCAAAUGAGUGAAUCUACUGAUAGGAGCUGGGAUCCUACCAGGCCUAGCUCUUAGGUUGUAGGGGUGGAUGAUGGAUAAGUCUGUGUACUAGGGUCUUUGUGGGGCUGCAGCACAUGGUCCUUGUGGCAGUUAGGAUAGAGUUCCCGAACAUCAAGGACUGGCAGUUAGGAUAGCAUCUUAGACUAGCAUCUUAGCAUAUGCUUGGCUGGCUAGCAACCUAUAGGUAUGUAUCCCCAACCCCUCGGGUUGGCAUGGCACUGUGUGAGAAAUAAACCAACGAAAAUUGUCCCAACUCUCCUAGUGUCAUCCACAACCAUCAAUGCUCAGGCUGAAAGGUCUAACAAGUGGUAUCAGAGCCUCGUUAUCUUGCACCCUGAGCAUUUCCUGUGAGCAGCCCAAGUCGGUAGCAGCAGCUGCUUCGUCUGCCUCUGGUUACCUCCCUCCCUCCGGACUAUCGAGCAGCAGUUCGUCUUCAACAGCCUCCUCUUCACGCAACAGCCCCCCUACAGCGAGCCAUGUCUGCAGGUCGCUCUCAGCACACGGCUACCUCGAGCAUACGGCGCCGGUAGGAGGCCGAGCGCGCCGUGGCAGAGGAGCGCGAGCGAGCAGCUGUAGCAGCAAGGGCGUCAAGGCUGGUAGCAGCGGAGCUGGCAGCAGCCAGAGCGGAGGUAGAAGCAGCCAAGGCGGAGGUAGAAGCAGCAGCAGCACGUGAGGCUACAGCGGAUGCCAAGGCACUCCACGGCGGCUCCAACAACUCUGCGCCUGCGGACGACGGCGCCGACGCAGACCGCGCCAAAGAGGCGCAAGAGUGGACGGCGCAGUGGGCAGCCGAGCACACCCGCGCUCCAGGUGGAGGUGCGCACCGUGACGGCGGCUGCAACGACCAGGACCGCGGCCUCUAUGAGGUCCGGACUGUGGUCAGGGAUGUUGGUCCCAGUGUUGGGUGGCCUACCCUCACUAAAACCAACUACCUCGAGUGGGCCGGGAUCAUGAAGAUCAGGCUCCAGGUGCGGCGCAUGUGGGAGGCAAUCCAGGACAGCAACGUCGACCACCUAGAGGAUCGACGGGCGCUGGACACCCUCAUCGCCGCAGUCCCGCCCGAGAUGCAGUUCUCGCUUUCCAACAAGCGGACUGCCAAGGAGGCUUGGGACGCCAUCGUCGUGGCAUGCAUCGGCAGCGACCGUGCCCGCAAGUCCACCCUGCAGGCACUUCGUAAGGAGUGGGAGAGCCUGGGUUUCAAGCCAGGUGAGGACGUUGAUGACUUUGCUCUCCGUCUCAACACUCUGCUGCAGAAGAUGGUGAAGUUUGGCGAUGCCACCUACAUCGAGGAGAGAGCUGUCGAGAAGCUUUUCCGGUGCAUCCCUGAGAAGUACAAGCAGAUGGCUCGCUCGAUCGAGUCAUUGCUGGACCUCUCCACGAUGACGAUCGAGGAGGCGAUAGGUCGCCUCAAGGUCGUCGACACCGACGAGCCACAACCUUCCUCGAGGCCCAUCACCACCGGCGGGAAGCUGCUCCUAACUCGGGAGCAGUGGGAUCCUAGCCUUGGUGACAUGAAGAAGGGGGAGCCUUCUUCCACGACGGGCGGCCGCAAGCGUGGCAAGCAGCGUAAGGCGCGAAGAGGCCCCCCGGGCAGGGCACAAGGACGUGCUGACGGUGACGCCCGCAGAGGCGCCAAGGACGGCGCCGCUGGCAAGCCCAAGCUGGCACAAGACAACAGUUGCCACAACUGUGGCCGGUUUGGCCAUUGGGCCAAUGAGUGUCGGCAACCAUGACAAGGCCAAGCUCACGUCGCACGGGCGAAGGAGGAGACGGCUCUGUUCAUGGCGCAUGCAAGCAUUGAGCUACCUUCAGCGACUCCAGUCGCAAAGGCUUUCAUCCACCUCGAUGAGCCAAAAGCACACGCUCUUCUCGGCGAUGUCUCCGCGAAGGACAAGACUACGGGGUGGUGCCUCGACACCGGCGCCACCCACCACAUGACCGGGCGAAGGGAAUUCUUCGCCGAGCUCGACUCCGAUGCGCGAGGCUCCGUCAAGUUUGGGGAUGCCUCCGCUGUGGAGAUAAAGGGCGUCGGCUCCGUCAUCUUCACCACCAAGACGGGAGAGCACCGGCUGCUCACCGGUUCUACUACAUCCCCGCGCUAAGGAACUCCAUCAUCAGCUUGGGACAGCUGGAUGAGAACGGCUCACGAGUGCUGAUUGAGCAUGGGGUCCUACGCAUCUGGGAUCGCCAGCGUCGCCUUCUCGCCAAGGUACCCAGAGGUGAAAAUCGACUCUACGUCCUUGAUGUGCAGGUGGCACAACCGGUCUGUCUCGCUGUCCGUCGGGACGACGAGGCGUGGCAGUGGCAUGAGCGCUUUGGGCGCCUUCAUUUUGAGGCCCUGAAGCGUCUAAGUGCCAAGGAGAUGGUGCGAGGCCUGCCAUGCCUCGACCAUGUGGAGCAGUUCUGCGACAUCUGCGUGCUGACGAAGCAAAGACGACUCCCCUUUCCCCAACAGGCGAGUUUUCGGGCCAAGGAGAAGCUAGAGCUCGUGCACGGAGACCUGUGCGGCCCGAUGACGCCAGCCACACCAGGAGGUCGACGCUACUUCCUGCUGCUCGUUGGCGAUCUCUCCCGCUACAUGUAGCUGAUGAUCCUCGGCAGUAAGGGAGAAGCGGCGGACGCCAUCAGACGCGCGCAGGUUGGUGUGGAGGCGGAGAGCGGCCGCAAAUUGCGCGUGUUGCGCACUGACAACGGCGGCGAGUUCACGGCGGCUGAAUUCGCGUCGUACUGCGCCGAUGAGGGCAUCCAGCGCCACUACUCCCGCGCCGUACAACCCGCAGCAAAACGGCGUCGUCGAGCAGCGCAACCAGACGGUUGUGGGGAUGGCUCGGGCUCUCCUCAAACACAGAGGGAUGCCGGCUGUUUUCUGGGAAGAGGCGGUGCUAACGGCCGUCUACAUUCUCAACCACUCGCCUACUAAGGCACUCGACGGCAGGACACCGUACGAGGCCUGGCAUGGGCGGAAGCCGGCGGUCUCCCAUCUGCGGGUCUUUGGCUGCCUUGCUUUCGCCAAGGAGCUCGGCCACAUCGGCAAGCUCGACGACAGGAGCACUUCGGGAGUCUUCAUCGGGUACGCGGAGGGCUCAAAAGCAUACCACAUCCUCGACCCAAAGACACAACGUGUGCACACAACGUGAGACGUUGUGUUCAACGAAGGGUGAGGGUGGCAAUGGGACAAGGUGGUGGACGACGGCUCGACGCUGACGUAUGACGACUUCAUUGUCGAGUACGCCCACUUCAAGGAAGUUGGGGGAGCAAGCAGCUCCUCUUCGCCGGGCGCGUCUACCCCGGCCCCAAAAACUACAUCGACUCCGGUGCCUGCUACGCCGACGACACCACAACCGGCGACACCGUAUACUCCAGCCCCGGAGGUCACCACUCCGGGCUCGUCUUCAUCAGCACCAGCUCACGCAGAGCACAACCCGAUGAAGUUCGCUUCCCCGCUCACUCACGACGAGGAGCGUAUCGACGCGUAUUAUGGCGGCGAACAACUGCGGUAUCGUACGAUGGAGAAUCUACUCGGCGACCAGCCGGUGCCGGGACUGGUGCCACGUGACCUGGAGGCGCAGCUACAGCUCGCGUGUGAAGACGGCGAACCACGGUCUUUUGCAGAGGCCGAGAGAGAUGCGGCAUGGCGCGCCGCGAUGCAGUUGGAGAUGGAUGCGGUCAAGCAAAACCACACCUGGGAGCUCGCUGAUCUGCCUCGUGGUCACCGCGCAAUCACCCUUAAGUGGGUGUUCAAGCUGAAGAGGGAUGGAGCCGGCGCCAUCAUCAAGCACAACGCUCGCUUGGUGGCCCGAGGCUUCUUGCAGCAGGAAGGAGUCGACUUCGACGACGCUUUCGCUCCCGUGACACGGAUGGAGUCCGUGCGACUUCUCCUUGCGCUGGCUGCCCAGGAGGGCUGGCGUGUCCAUCACAUGGAUGUCAAGUCGGCAUUCCUCAACGGCGACUUGAAGGAGGAAGUCUACGUGCAUCAGCCACCGGGAUUUGCGAUCCCUGGCCAGGAGGGCAAGGUACUCCGCCUGCACAAGGCUCUCUAUGGCCUACGGCAGGCACCUAGGGCGUGGAACGCCAAGCUGGACUCCACACUAAAGAAGAUGGGCUUCGAGCAAAGCCCGCAUGAGGCGGCCGUCUACCGACGGGGCAGUGGAGGAAAUGCCCUGCUGGUGGGCGUCUAUGUUGACGGCUUGGUGAUCACCGGCACCAAAGAUGCAGAGGUGGCGGCGUUCAAGGAAGACAUGAAGGCCACCUUUCAGAUGAGUGAUCUGGGGCUCCUCUCCUUUUAUCUAGGGAUUGAGGUGCACCAGGAUCACUCCGGGAUUGCGCUUCGACAGUCCGCCUACGCCAAGCGCAUCGUUGAGCUAGCUGGGCUCACCAACUGCCACCCAGCUCUCACUCCGAUGGAGGAGAGGCUGAAACUGAGCCACGACAGCACGACCGAGGAAGUGGAUGCUACGCAGUACCGACGCCUUGUGGGGAGCCUUCGCUACCUCGCCCACACACGGCCGGACUUGGCAUUCUCCGUCGGCUAUGUCAGUCGGUUCAUGGAGCGACCGACGACGGAACACCAGCAGGCAGUGAAGAGGAUCGUCCGCUACGUAGCAGGGACCCUCGACCACGGCCUCCACUACCCUAGGUGUCCGGGGGCGGCACACUUCGUCAGGUACAGCAACAGCGACCACGCCGGCAACAUCGACACCAGCAAGAGCACGAGCGGGAUCCUCUUCUUCCUCAGCAAGUGCCUCGUGAGCUGGCAAUCAGUCAAGCAGUAGGUGGUGGCCCUGUCCAGCUGUGAGGCUGAGUACAUAGCGGCCUCCACUGCCUUCACUCAGGCGCUCUGGCUCGCUCGACUGCUUGGUGAUCUUCUCGUUCUAGACACCAGAACGGUGCAGCUCCUGGUGGACAGCAAGUCCGCCCUGGCUCUUGGAAAGAACCCCAUUUUUCACGAACGGAGCAAGCACAUCCGACUGAGGUAUCACUUCAUCCGCAGCUGCUUGGAAGAAGGGAGCAUCGAGGCGAGCUACAUCAACACCACGGACCAACUCGCAGACCUGCUGACCAAGCCUCUUGGGAGGAUCAAGUUCCACGAGCUUUGCUCCAGGAUCGGGAUGAUUCAACUCUCCCACAAGACGACGUACAAGACUUAGGGGGAGAAUGAUGGAUAAGUCUGUGUACUAGGGUCUUUGUGGGGCUGCAGUCUUUGUGGGGCUGCAGCACAUGGUCCUUGUGGCAGUUAGGGUAGAGUUCCUGACCAUCAAGGACUGGCAGUUAGGAUAGCAUCUUAGACUAGCAUCUUAGCAGCAUCUUAGCAUAUGCUUGGUUGGCCAGCAGCCUAUAAGUAUGUAUCCCCAACCCCUCAAGCUAGCAUGGCAUUGUGUGAGAAAUAAACCAACGAAAAUUGUCCCAACUCUCCUAGUGUCAUCCACAACCAUCAAUGCUCAGGCUGAAAGGUCUAACAGUGGAAGAGAGGGUGGCGAGGAGCUGGGCGCGAGCGGCGGCGCGACGGCGCCGUGAUCGCGCGGUGGGGGAGGAAGAGAUGGCGCAGGGGGCAACUAGGGUUAGGCUUCCGGCUCCUGAAGGGAGCCGGGCAAUAGUUAUGACUUAUUGCUUAAUUCCAAAGCAUGGCCUUACAAGUGUUUAUAUAAUCCUCGAGGUGCUAAUAAUAAUAAAGAUAAGUUGGGCUAAGCCCCUAACUAGACGCGCCAUUGGGCCUCCUCCGGCUAUAAGUGACGCUGGUCAUAACAUCUCUCCCUGCCUGCGCAAAGAGCUCAUCCUCGAGCUGGAAGUCUGGAAAAUGCUGGCGGAACUCCUCGAGCUGCUCCCAAGUGGCGUCCUCCUCCGGAAGGCCUUGCCAUUGGAUCAACAAAUGCCACACGCCGCGGCGCUGCUGGGCCUUCAACACCUUUGAUGGACCCGGAAGAAGACGUCCAUCGGAGGUUGGAGGAAGCACCGGCGCGGCCGCCGGCGAAUCACCGUGGAAAGGCUUCAGCAAGCCCACAUGGAAGGCGUCGUGGAUACGAGCGCCGGACGGAAGCUGAAGGCAGUAUGCGACCUUGUCGAUGUGUUCCACCACGAAAAAGGUCCCGCGUAGCGAGGGCCCAGCUUGCGCUUAGCGCGCGGAUCCAUUGACUGCGCGGAGCGGCGAAGGAGCCGCAACCACACCCAAUCGCCCACCGCAAACUCCGCCUCGCGGUGGUGGCCGUCAUAGUACUUCUUGGACAGCUGCUGGGCCUGGAGAAGAUGCUGGCGCACGUCGGCAAGGAUCUCAUCCCUGCUGCGGAGAAGGUUGCCAGCCGCCUCCGUUCGGGCCGUCCCGGGGUCAACCGGCAGGAUGGCUGGCGAAGGGCGGCCGUAGACCACCUCAAAAGGUGUGGCACGCAGGACGGAGUGGUAGGUGUUGUAGCAGUACUCCGCCCAAGCGAGCCAGUCAAGCCCGAGGACGAUCACCUGGAACACAGCGCAAAUACAUGGAAAUCACCUUGUUGACCACUUCAGAUUGGCCAUCCGUCUGGGGGUGGAAUGCCGUACUCAGCGCAGUUUCACGCCCGCCAUCCGGAAGAGAUCGCGCCAGACAUAACUAGUGAACACCGGGUCACGGUCGCUGACGAUCGAAGAAGGGAACCCAUAUAGGUGGACGAUGCCGUCGAAGAAGGCACGCGCCACGGAGGCGGCGGUGUAAGGGUGGUCGAGCGCAAUGAAGUGUGCAUACUUGGAGAAGCGGUUGACCAACGUAAGGAUGGACCUGCCGACUACCUUGGGAAGGCCCUCGAUGAAGUCCAUGGAGGUGUUGGCCCAGACCUGAGAGGGCACCUCAAGGGGCUGUAGCAGCCCUGCCGGCCGUAGUGUCUCCGUCUUGUUGCGCUGGCACGUCAUGCAAGGCCGCACCUAGUCUUGCACCAGCGCCCGGUCACCAGGGAUGUAGAAAUCCGCUCGGAGACGAUGGAGGGUCUUCUGCACGGCCUCGUGACCGGCCGAGUGGGCCAGCAGCAGGGCCUGGUGACGGAGGUCGCCGUGAUCCGGCACGAAGAGCCGGCGCCCGUGCAGGAGCAGGCGAUCAGCCAUGCGCCACGACUCCUCCAGGUCGCCGGCGUCGAGGCGCUGCCGAAGGAGCUGCGCAUCCGGAGCGCUCGCGGUGGCCCCAGCGAAUGUCGUCGAAGAGGGCGAAGGGGGGCACCGAGCUGAUGUCGCCGAAGAGGGCGAAGGCGUCGCGGCGUAGCAGGCGCGUAAGUGGGGCCGCGAUGAGGCCGAAUUCCCGGAUGAAUUUUCGAUAGUACCCAGCGAGGCCCAAGAAGCCGCGGCGAGUGCGGCGUUGGCCAAGCCGUGACCUUGUCAGCAUCCACAGCGACACCCUCCGCUGAGAUGACGUAGCCGAGAUAGGCGACUGAUGUCGUGCCGAACGAGCACUUCGAGCGCUUGAGGUGCAGAUGGUGCGCUCGAAGCUCGUUGAAGACGAUGGCCACGUGCUGCAGGUGCCCCGCCCACGAUGAGCUGUAGAUAAUAAUGUCAUCAAAGAAAACAAGCACAAACCGGCACAAGUAGGGGCGGAGCACGUUGUUCAUCAACGCCUGGAAUGUCACCGGGGCAUUGGAGAGGCCAAAGGGCAUCACCAAGAGCUCAAGUGGCCAUGAUGAGUGCGGAAGGCCGUCUUCGCGACAUCGUCCAGGUGCAUCUGCACCUGGUGAUAUCCCAAACGGAGGUCGAGCUUGGUGAAGAAGUGUGCCCCAUGUAGCUCGUCCAGGAGUUCAUCCACGACGGGGAUAGGAAAUUUGUCCUUGGACGUCUUGCGUUGAGAGCAUGGUAGUCGAUGCAGAAACACCACGAACCGUCGGCCUUGCGCACGAGGAGCACCGGCGCGGAAAACGGUGACGCCGAGAUCCGGAUGAUGCCUUGGGCGAGCAUGACCACACAUUGCCGCUCCAGCUCGUCCUUCUGCAGCUGGGGGUAGCGGUACACGACCGCACAUCGACGACAGCGGUGUCCGGCAACAGGUAGAUACGGUGGUCGUAGGGCCGGACCGGUGGCAGGCCCUGCGGCUCGUCGAAGAGGACAUUGUGCUGCUGCAACAGGCUAGCCAACAGGGGAUGCUCGGCAUCGACGGCGGCUGCCGUCAACUGGGGCUGAGGGGCCGUCAGGGAGGCACCCCCGACGCCCUCCCACCAAGCGCGGCGAUCCAGGCGCCAAAAAAUCAUUGUCAUGGCGUCGAAGUCCCAGAGGAUGGGACCCAGAGUCCGCAAGAAAUCGACGCCGAGGAUGAAGUCGAAGCAGCCCAAGUUGAUACCGACGUAGGUGACAGUGAAGUGCUCGGCGCCGAUGACGAUGGGGACAUGCCGAGCAAUACCCUGGCAGCGGAUACGGUCACUGUUGGCCACGAUAACACGUAACUGCUCUCCCCCGGUCGGCUGCAGCGCCAGGCGGCGCAUGGUGGCCCCUGGCAGGAAGUUGUGGGUGGAGCCCGUGUCCAGGAGUGAGAGGAACCGCUCGCCGUUGAUCGUUACAGGCAGCAGCAUAGUCUUCUCCGUCCAGAUGCCCGCGAGUGCAUGGAGGGAGACGACGAGUGCGUUUGCCUGGGCCGGCCCCGGCGGAAUCUUGUCGGCCAAUGGAGGGGCCGGGUCGCCCAGCCCGGCGGCGGCAGUGUCCUCCUUAAUGUAGUCCGCGACCCCCAAGUAGAACAGGCGCGGGCAAACGUGGCCCGGGACGUAGGGCUCGUCGCAGUUGUAGCACAGCCCCUGACGACGGCGCUCGAGCUGCUCGGCCGGGGUGAGCCGACAGAAGGGGCACAUCGCGGCCGGCGCGUUGGGCAUCGCGGGGGCCUGGACCAGACGCCCCGGCGCUGGUGGUGUCGGUGGCGACCGGGCGGGCUGUCGGGCGCCUCGGGGCGGUGACACCUGCUGCAUGGACACCGCGCAAUGCUCGAAGGCGCGGGCAUAGUACAUAGCCGUCUGGAGGUCCUGUGGUCCCCGCAUCUCCACGUCCACGCGGAUAUGAUCAGGCAGACCGCCAACGAAGAGCUCAGCCCGCUGGCGAGCCGUCACGCCAGGCGCGAGGCACGCCAGGGCCUGGAAGCGGUCGACGAAGUCCUACAUCGUAGAGGCGAAGGAUGGGCGCCCAAGCUCCGCCAGCCGGCUCCCGCGUAUCGGCAGCCCGAAGCGUAAGAGGCAAAGCUCGCAGAAACGCUCCCAUGGGGGCAUGCCACCCUCAUCCUGCUCGAGGGCAUAAUACCAUGUCUGUGCGACGCCUCAAGAGGUGAUAGGAGGCGAUCCAGGUGUGGUUGGACGCGAGCGUGCGUUGCCCCCUAAAAAACUGGUCACACUGAUUAAGCCAAUUCAGGGGGUCCACAAUGCCGUCGUAGGUGGCGAACUGAAGCUUGGAGAAGCCCGGCGGCGUCUGGCCGUGGACGACGGAGGAGUACACCUCAUCGGUGCGGAGCAACGAGGACGACGCGCCGAGUAGGUGGCCAUCAGAGGGCCACCCUGGAACAGGGGCCCGUCGACGCUAGCGUAUGGGUCGGCGGAGCCUGAGGGCCCGCCGAACUGGAUGGCCGAGGGCGGCACCUGCGGGGGCAGCAUGUGCGGCUGUACGGAGGCCGUCGUGUAGACCGGCUCGAGGGACCCAGCGAGCCAGGCUGGUAGCAGUGAUGGCGAUGGAGGGAACCGGACCUGGUGGAUGGGCACCUCCUGAGCCGUCGUUGGGGCGCUCUGGGUCGAGGUUGCCGGCGGCGGCAGCUGCAGCUGCUAGUGUGGCAGUGCCACGGUGGGAGCGACGGAGGGCUAGUGUUGUUGCUGCAUGGUGGAGGCGCCGAUGUGCACCGCGGGUGGCGACUGCCACGGCGGCUGCUAUGCGGCAGAGGCGAAGGGGGUCACCGAGGGGGGCGGCCGCCACGACGGCAACUACGGCGGGGACGACACGAUGGCGAAGGGCCUAGGCGGCUACGACCCGUAGGGGCUUGCGAGGAAGGUGCGGAUGCCCACGACCACCUGGGUGAGGUCCCGGAGGGCAGCCGCCAUCUCCUCCGGGGUGAAGACGACGGUUGUCGGCGGCGUCCAGGCGGGGGAGGACAUCGUGCCCGACAAGGACGGCGCCCCAGCCGCGGAGGUGGCCGGCGGCGUGAUGGUGGACGGCGGCGGAAGGGUGCCGGUGGGAAGAGGUGUAGACAUGACCGAGCUCGAGACAGCUGAUACCAUAUUGAUAGGACCAGGCCUAGCUCUUAGGUUGUAGGGGUGGAAGGGAGGGUAGCGAGGAGCUGGGCGCGAGCGGUGGCGCGACGGCGCCGUGAUCGCGUGGUGGAGGAGGAAAUGGCGCAGGGGGUGGCUAGGGUUAGGGUUUCGGCUCCUGAAGGGAGUCAAACAAUAGUUAUGACUUAUUGCUUAAUUCCAAAACGUGGCCUUACAAGUGUUUAUAUAAUCCUCGAGGUGCUAAUAAAAAUAAAGAUAAGUUGGGCUAAGCCCCUAACUAGACACGCCAUUGGGCCUCCUCCGACUAUAAGUAACGCCAGUCAUAACAUCUACACUCUAAAAUAUGUCUACAUACAUCUUUUUAAGUUGAGAUGAAUUGUGUUUCAAAUAAUUACAAGAAGAAUGUAGUUACACAGGUAACUACACAUGAUUUCAGAAAGUCACAUGCUUGUGGUUCUUGAUGCUCUUAGAAAAACCUUCAGCGUGUAAUAAUUUAUAUACUAUCUGUUAAACUUAUGUUUCAAAAUUAUUGUUUUUUAUUCUUCAUGCUAUCAUACAUUCCUACGUGAUUACGCACACAUGCAAAGCACAUGCGUUCUGUUAGUACAUUCAAGUCUACAUUUGCAUAAUCAUACUUUUCAGUUAUUUUUGACAUACUUAUGCAAAGCAUUUUCUAAUGUAUGUUUUAUUGCAGGCUAAGUGUCCUUCCGCUAUUGAUUCAUUUCAAGAAAUCAUAACCAACUGCCAGGGCAAGACGAUAGCCCUCUUCUUGGACUAUGACGGGACCCUAUCGCCCAAAGUAAAUAAUCCUGAGGAGGCAUACAUGUCCAGCGAGGUAAGUCUAAUGAAACCAAAAAUCAUUGCAUGUUACUUGAUAUUUGUAGUGGUAGGAACUAGGGUUCUACCGGGUCUAGGCUGGAGGUUGUAGGGGAAGGAGGGAGCUGGAUCAAGGCGCUGUCGAAGGAGCUGAACGUCCGGCGCGCCCGCGGUAGCCCUGCGGAUGUCGGCAAAGAAAGCGAAGGAGGGCCCCGAGCGGAUGCAGAGCGCCGCCCCAUCGGAGUCGCCGACGGCUGCGUCUCGUGGUCGGCGUCGCGGCGGGACAGGGCGUCGGCCACGGUGUUAAGGCGGCCCGAACGAUACUCGACGGUGAAGUCGAAGCCAAAGAGCUUGUUGAUCCACUGGUGCUGCGGCACGGUAGACAGCCUCUGGUCCAAUAAGAACUUGAGGCUGUAGUGAUCCGUGCGAAUCCGGAACGACCGGCCCCAAAGAUAGGGCCGCCAAUGGCGCACGGCCUGCACCAAGCCAAUGAGCUCCCUCUUAUAGGCCGCGAGCUUAAGAUGGCGCGCGGCGAAGGGCCUGCUGAAGAACGCGAGCGGUCCGUCGCCCUGAUGAAGGACGGCGCCGAACCCCACACCGGAGGUGUCGCAGUCCACGACGAAUGGGCGGUCAAAGUCAGGCAUCUGGAGGACGGGACCCGUCAUGAGGGCCCCCUUGAGAGCCUCGACGCCGCUGUCGCCUCCGCAUCCCAGGCAAAGGCGUCGCGACGCAGCAGGCGCUUGAGCCGCGAUGAGGCCGAACUCUCGGAUAAAUUUUCGGUAGUACCCCGCGAGGCCCAGGAAGCCGUGAAGAGCUCGCGGUGAGUGCGGUAUCGGCCAGGCCGCGAAGGCCGCCACCUUGUCGGCGUCCAUAGCAACCCCCUCAGCCGAGAUGACGUGGCCGAGGUAGUCGACUGAAGGCGUCCCGAACGAGCACUUCGAGCGCUUAAAAUGAAGAUGGUGCGUUCGAAGCUCGUUGAAGACGAUGGCGACGUGCUGAAGGCUAUGUUUUUAAGGCAGUAAGGCGAGGCGAGGCGCUGGGGGGCGCCCCACCGCCUAAGCGCUAAAGCGUAAGGCGAGGCGACGCCUUAGACGUAUGCAUAUAUAAUAUAUGACAACCAAUUAGGAGAUUUAACAACUAGCAUUAACUUAAUAAAUUGUACAUACAUAUAUAAUAGAUGGCAGUCAAUUAGGAGAUUUAACAACUAGCAUUAACAUAUAAACUGUUACCAAAGCAUAGGCCUCAAAUUAUCUUGUGUACAUGACAGAACGGCGCCUUUGAACUUCAGCUUCAUCCUCCUCAUCAAUAUAUCGCUCUGUAGCUUUAAACUUUCCACUGUUUAAGGAAUUGCGCAUCUCUAUCCUAAUCUCCAUGGAUGCCUCGGGACACUUAUCCGCAUCACUGGAACCCCCAGAAAGGUGCUGCUUCAGCCUUUUCACUCCAGCAUGGAUUAUCUUGCCACAUAAUGUACACUGGAGUAAAUCUUUCCUCUCUAAAUCCGGCCAAAGCCCAUACUUCCAAGCUGGAUCGUCAGAUCUAGCUCUUCUCCUAGGAUUCAUCAGAGCAGGGACACCUGACCAGUGGCUACUGCAGCAACACUGAGAGAAGGCCAAUCAGUUGUCAAAGAAAAAGAGAGAACCAAAGCAUUAGAGCAACCAGAUCAAGCACGGGGAAGGAGAGAAGCGGUGGUGUGGCUGCUGGAUGGAAGAAAGAGAAGAGACAAGAGCCAGAGGAGGAGGGAGAGGAGCUGCAGCCGGACAGGAGCCAGGAGCCAUACCUUGUUCUGGUGCUGAUCUGGUGGAAGAGGGUUGCGCCAGAGGAGAAGAGGGAAGAGCUGCAACUGGAGAGGGGGAGGGGGAGGAGCUGCAGCCGGAGAGGAGGAAGCUGGCGCAGAUCUGAGGAGGAAGCCGCCGCCAGAGGAAAUAGGAGAGAGACCUCUCGCCUGGAGACUAGGAUUUGCACGAUUGGUUCGAUUCUCUCUCUCUCUCUCUCUCUCUUUCCCCUCCUUGUAACUGUUCGCGCGUGGGCCAAUAUUUCCCGCGCUUGUGUUCCCGCGUGGGCCAGUUUUUCCCGCUGGAAUCUUUGUUUCCCCUGCCUGACAAACCAGAGCGUCUGAUUUGGGCCAAGGCGUGCAAGGCGGGGCUAAGGCGGACGAUUCAGACGCCCUACAGCCCAAGGCGGACGCCUUACUCAAUAAACUAAGGCGAGUACGACGCCUUGUCAUCUGGGGGCGCCCUGACGCCAAAGCGUCGCCUAAGCGACGCCUCAGGGACGCCUUAAAAACAGAGGCUGAAGGUGCUCCGCCCACGAGGCGCUGUAGAUAAGAAUGUCAUCAAAGAAAACGAGCACAAACUAACACAAGUAGGGGCGGAGGACGUCGUUCAUCAAAGCCUGGAAGGCCGCCGGGGCGUUGGAGAGGCCAAAAGGCAUCACCAAGAACUCGAAGUGGCCGUGAUGAGUCUGAAACACCGUCUUGGCGACAUCGUCCAGGUGCAUCCGCACCUGGUGGUAGCCCGAUCCGAGGUCGAGCUUGGUGAAGAAGCAAGCCCCAUGUAGCUCGUCCAGGAGCUCGUCGACCACCGGGAUAGGAAACUUGUCCUUGAGUGUCAGGGCGUUAAGGGCGCGGUAGUCGAUGCAGAAGCGCCACGUGCCGUCCGACUUGCGGACGAGGACCGGCGCCGAAAACAGAGACGUGGAGAUCCAAAUGAUGCCCAAGGCGAGCAUGAGCGCGCACUGCCGCUCCAGCUCGUCCUUCUGCAGCUGGGGAUAGCGGUAGGGGCGCACUGCAACCGGCGCCGUGCCCGUCAGGAGAUGAUUGCGGUGAUCAUAAACCCGGGCUGGCGGAAGGCCCUGAGGCUCGUGGAAGAGGUCGCGGUGCUGCUGCAGGAGGUGAUCCAACAGUGGGUGCUCGGGUUCGGCGGCGGUCGCGGCCAGCUACAGCUGCGGUGUCACUGGUGAGGCGUCACCCACGCCCUCCCACCGGACGCGGCGACCCAAGCGCCAGAAGGUCAUCGUCAGGGCGUCGAAGUCCCAGAGGAUGGGACCGAGGGUCCGCAAGAAGUCGACGCCAAGGAUGAAGUCGAAGCAGCCCAAGUCGAUGCCGGCGCACGUGAUAGUAAAGUGCUCGUCGCCGAUGGUGAUGGGCACGUUCCGCGCCAGCCCAUGGCACCGGAGGCAGUCGCCGUUAGCCACCGUGACCCGAAGUUGCUUCCCGCCCGUCGGCUGAAGCGCUAAGCGUCGCAUGGUAGCCUCGGGCAGGAAGUUAUGCGUGGAGCCCAUAUCCAGGAGGGCAACCAGGCGCUCGCCGUGAAUCAUCACCGGCAAGAGCAUAGUCCGCUCGUCGCGGAUGCCGGCAAGCGCAUGGAGCGAGACCACAAGCGCCAUUGCUGAAGCGGGCGCGGGGGCGGCCUCCGCAGCAACUGGUGGCAGCAACUCGCCGAGCCCGUCAGCGGGUGUGUCCUCCUCGACGUAGUCAGCUGCCUCUAGGUAGAAGAGGUGCGGGCAGACAUGACCCGACACGUAGGGCUCAUUGCAGUUACAGCAAAGCCCCUGGUGACAUCGCUCAAGCUGCUCGGCCGGAGAGAGCAGGCAGAAGGGCCACGUCGUGGCCGGAGCGGUAGUCGCUGGAGCGGCCGGGGGCGAUCGGCCCGGCACAGGUGGUGUCGGGGGCGGCCUGGCGGGCUGUCGGCCACCCCGAGCCGGUGCCGCCUGCUACAAGGCCUGCGCACGACGCUUGAAGGCACGAGCGUAGUACAUGGCCGUCUAGAGAUUCUGGGGUCCCCGAAGCUCCACGUCCACACGGAUGUGAUCCUGCAGACCAUCGACGAAGAGCUCGGCGCGCUACUGAGCCGUCACGCCCGACGCGUGGUACGCCACGGCCUGGAAAUGGUCGGCGAAGUCCUGCACCGUGGAGGUGAAGGGGAGGUGACCGAGUUCUGCCAGCCGGCUCCUGCGUAUUAGCGGCCCGAAGCGAAGGAGGCAUAGCUCGCGAAAGCGCUCCCAUGGGGGCAUGCCGCCCUCGUCCUGCUCGAGGGCAUAAUACCACGUCUGUGCGGCGCCCCGAAGGUGAUAAGAGGCGAGCCAGGUGCGGUCCGACGCCAGCGUGCGUUGCCCCCGGAAGAAUUGCUCACACUGGUUGAGCCAGUUGAGGGGGUCCUCGGUGCCGUCGUAGGUGGCGAAGUCGAGCUUGGCGAAACGCGGCGGUGUCUGAGCAUGACCGCCGUGAGCGUACAGCUCGGCGGUACGGAGCAGCAAAGAAGAUGGCGCCGACCCGGUGUGCACAGGGGGUCCUCGUGAAACGGUGGCCCGCCGUACGGCAUAUGGGAGGCGCUGGCUAUUCCCCGACCAUAGUAUAGACCGGCGGCGGUGACGGCCCGGCCAACCAGGGUGGAAGUUGGGACGGCGAGGGCGGGAACCGAACCUGUUGGAUCGGAACGCCCGCCGGCGCGGUCGUAGCCGACCCGGUGCUGGGCCGCGGUGGCGCCUUCAGCUGCAGCUGCGGCUGCAUGGGGGCGCCGGACAUGGCGGAAACCGCGGUGGCCGGGGACGACCACGGCGGCCAUAGCUGGGGGUGGCUGCAGCUGCAGCGGCCCGACCAGCGCCGCGGAGGCCCCCGGGAGCGGCGGCUGCCAUGGCAGGAGAAGGGCCCCGAUGGCGGCGGCGGUUGGCGCAGCCGGCGGUGGCCCGUAGGGGCCCGCCAGGUAUAGGCGGAUGCCUUGGACCGUGGUGGCGAGAUCGCGGAUUGCUCCGGUGACCUCCUCCGGAGAGAAGACGGCGGCGACCGGCGCGGCGGCGGUGACGGGCACCGACGAGGGAGGCGCGCUGGUCGUUGUGGACAGCGGGGCGGUUGUGGCAGUGGGCAGCGGGAGGGAUGGGAUGGGCGGCGGCGAAGACAUGAUCACAACCGAGCUAGCUGAUACCAAAGUGGUAGGAACUAGGGUUCUACCGGGUCUAGGCCGGAGGUUGUAGGGGAAGAAGGGAGCUGGAUGUGGGCGAACACACGGCCGGCGGCGGCUGGGCGCCCUCAUGCGCGAGGGAGGAGGCGGCGACGAUGGUAGGAGGCGGUUAGGGUUUAGGGUUAGGGCUCCUUAGGGAGCCGGGCAAUAGAAUUGUCUUAUUGCUUGAUUUCCAAAAGAGUCUUUACAACUGUUUAUAUAAUCACGAUGCUAAUAAAAAUAAGAUAACUUUUGGGCUAAGCCCCUAACUAAACGCGCCCAGUGGGCCUCCUCCGGGUAUAAGUUACCCCGGUCAUAACAUGUAAAUCUUUCUAAUCCCUGAUUCCAUAUAAUCAGAUGCGUGAUGCUGUUCAAGAAAUUGCCUCCUUGUGCGCCACUUCAGUUGUCAGUGGAAGGGCCCACGAUAAGGUAUUACCGGCUAAUGGGUAUCCAGUAGCCUUUUAAUUUCGAUGUUCUAUACAUUUGUAAUUAGCGACUCACUUGUUUUGCUAUUCAUCUGCAGGUAAAAAAUUUCAUCAUGCUUGAAAAUCUGCAUUACGCAGGGAGCCACGGAUCAGAUAUCAAACUCGUAAGUCAUUGUUAAAUUUAGCAAUUCCUAUAUGUAGUUUAUCCUUUCUCUUUGACGCGCUCGUAAUUUACGUACUAUUUGACCUGCAGAGUGACGAAACAGAAGCCUACGAACCUGCCAGCGAGUAUCAACCUGUUAUAAAUCAGGUAUAAAAUACAACGGAAUAUAAUAGUGCGCAUAUCUGUUAUUCAAUUUCAUUACAUUCUGGAAAUGCUAAUGCAUUACUUGCAUGACAGGCGAGAGAGCGUAUGGAGGAGGUUAUCAGAAAGAUAAAGGGUGCAUCGGUUGAAAACAAUAGAUUCACCUUUUCGGUGCACUACAGGGAGGUUGAUAAGAAGGUAUAACUAAAGCUAAAGUUCCAUUGUUUUUGCCUCUUACAUUCCUCUAGAGCGGCUCUAAAGGCUUGCAUAUAGUCUGGUGGUCUCGGGUUCCCACUAUCUUUCUCAAAUGGGUAGAGUAUUCCAUACAGAUGUCCCAUAACUAACCACGGCAUAUUGGCAAUAGCAUGUAAAUCUCUUAGCCGCUGCCAAGUCAAGUGCUUGUUUUGCCAUCUUGGUUCUCCAUACAUACCAGUAAACCUCCAAACUGCUUCAUGUUCAUUUCCAAUACUGACGUCAAUAAAAUUUUCAGUCUUAUACCGAAGAGAAACAUCCAUCACUACUAACCACUUCCUUACAGUCCAUCUUCACUUUACGACAUAGACACUCUGCAGGCCACUCAUCCAAAUGAGUUUCCAGCAGAAACACCACAUCCGGGCUGCUCUGUAAAAGAACUUUCAGCAGAGCCUGGACUGCCACAGCCCCAAUGAGGCCACGACAAUUAUAGCUUGAGAUUUUCAUUGUGUCCGAACAGCCUCUAACUCAAGAGGCCGCCGAUAUCAUUUGGUUUGCAUCAUUUUCAUCAUCCAUCUUGGAAACAGAUUCAUUAGUACCAUCCUCUUCUGUUCGAGGCUUCUUUCUAUUCUUGUUUUCCUGAGGAGUAACAACAGUAGCUACAGCCGCUGUCUCAGUAUUAGACAGCUCAAACCGAUCCACAAUAUUUGCAACCAUUCCCUCGCCUGGGUUCCUUGAUGAUCCCAAAUUUGUACUGUCCACUGCUUGUCUCUUCCCCAACAAAGUCUGACUCUCCUCCGAUCUGACCACCAAAGCUAAGUUAUUUUCACUAGUUGCUGCCCCAUCCUUUCCUGUAUAAUCAUACUCCAUGCAUUGGGAUCAUCAGGAUUUUUCGUUGGAUCAUAAUUCAACCUCCAUGCAGCUGCACCGGCCCUUCCAUUCAUGCCCCUUCCCGCACCUCCUCUCAGACCUGUGCCAUUCAUGUCACCACGCCCAGCACCACCGUCUCGGCUUGGUCCUGUCCCUCUACCACCUCCCCCGCCUCUUCUAGGAGCCAUGAUAAAGGGACCCCAUUCAACCUUUUUCUCAUCAUGCUCUCCCGAGCCACAUUCUUCAUGCCAAUGUCCCAUUUUCCCACAAGCAUGGCAAAACGUCGGCAGUUUCUCGAACUUUACUUGAUAGAACUCAGUCUCACCCUUCCUCAUAAAACUUACAAAUCUAGUGAGUUUCUUGUGCAUAUCUAGUUUUAUGUGGACUCGGAUGAAUUCACCUACGAAUCCAUGAGGGUGAUUUGAAUCUGUUAGGGAGUGUAAUCUGAACCUCCUGAACCUCCCCUAUACGCUUUGCCAUGUUUUCCAGAAAGUUCUUAUUUUUCAAAACUCCAUCCGGCAACUUGUGGAUUUGACAGCACGUUUCCAACCUAUCAAUCUUGACUUUCUCUGGGUUUGAGAACCCAUCAUAUUCAGUCAUCAGAAGAGCUGAACCUUUAAAAUCCCACGGACCCUGAUGCAGGGCCUUAUUCCAGUCCGCAAGACAAUGGAACUGAAUCAAGAAAAGGUUAGGGUUUAUCCUUCUCCAGACUACAUCCUGAGCCGGAUUCCAUGCCGCACGCAUGUCCCCGAUCAAUUCACUUUGACUGAAACUUUUGUCCGUCAGCAACCUGGCUAGUGCAAGCCACUUAGGCCUCUCCUCAGAUUCGUCAACCUCAUCCUCCCAUAUGAGAUCAUCAAUCUCCUCACCCUGCAGGUGUAAUCUCUCCAAUAGAGCUAUUCUGUUUACCUUAGCCUUCAGUUUGAGUCAGAAUCAAAUUAGUUAAAAGAUUGUAGAGUCAGUUUUGAUAAAGAGAUAAAUAAUCAAAAUUGUAAUCAGUUAGUUUUGCCUUGAUGGCCAAGUCAAUUCGCCUAUAAGAAGGGACUUAACCCCGAUGAACAAAGCACGCCAAUUCAGAGUCUUUUCUUUACUGUUACGCAAUCCCGAGUUCUUCCACCUCUUUGCUAUAUUGAAAUAAUUUUCCUAAUGUUCGUUUUUUUUGCAGGAACGGCAACUGGUUAAGAAGCUUGUCAAGGAAACCAUUAAAGGUUUUUCUGAGCUGAUAGUAACUGAUGGUGACAUGGUAAGUAGAUUUCGUUGAACAUCAAUCAAGUUUAAAUGUUUUAAUUGUCAAGCUUCAUGCACUAGCUAACGCAACCAAAAUUCCAAACUUCUUCUCAAUAAACAAAAAAAAAAUCCAAACUAAUGGAAAGGGCUGGGCAAUCCACAUAUACACUUCAACACCCCCUCUCACGUGUGACGCGAGCAGUCAACACAGGAAUAGACUCAGAGGUAUGGCUCAAGAGGCCUAUACCUGGGCACAGAGGGGGACAACAUCAAUUUUUGGAUAAACUGCAAAAGCAAGGACUUAAACUCAAGACCCUGAUACUAUGUCAAGCUUCAGUGCAAGUCCUGGCUCAAUUUAUCUAAAAAUUGCUGCUUCCCCACUCCGUGUCCAGGUAUAGGCCUCUUGAGCCAUACCUCUGAGUCUAUUCACGUGUUGACUUCCCGUGUCACACGUGAGAGGGGGUGUUGAAGUGUAUAUGUGGAUUGCCCAGCCUUUUCCACCAGUUCAGACUUUUGGCUAGUGCAUGAAGCUUAACUUUGAUCAUAUUCAUUACAUGUACACUUGUAUGCAAUUAUAUAGGUACACGAGGUUCGUCCUAAGGCUGAAUUCAACAAGGGGUUUGCAGUCAAGUAUAUACUCGAGCAGCUAGCCCGCAAAAACAAUUGGGACAGUUCUCAGGUGGUUGCUAUCUUCAUCGGUGAUGAUAAGACCGAUGAAGAUGCAUUCAAGGUAAUAUCAUCUAAACACAGAAACCUAAUCUUGUUAAAUCAUUAUUUAAAUAAUCUCCACUUUUUUUUCCGAUUAGGUGCUCCGUGGACGAGCUGGCGGACUGGGGAUCCUUGUCAGCAAGGAGCGCAAGUGGACCAAAGCGUCGUACUCGCUCGAAGACCCAGCUGAGGUAAAGUCAAAUGCAUUGCAUUUUACUCCACUCCGUCUAUAAAUAUAAGCCCUUUUAGAUAUUUCAAUACGAACUACAUACUGAAAUCUCUAAAGAGACUUAUAUUUAGGAACAGAGGGAAUAGUGUUGUUAGUUGUACCCAGUAAAAUAACUAGUAAUAUUUUAACUUUGAUUCAGGUGCAAAAGUUUCUUGAGAAGCUCGUGAGCUGGAAGAAGGCAGAGGCUGAAGUUUGAGUGUGCUUGCAACCUAUUUAAUAUUGUUCUGAUGAUGACAUUAGAUUUGUGGUGGUGAACAAGAUGAGACAGAAUAAUAAGACGUUAAGGGCCCUUGUUUGGAUGUCAUUUCUCCUCGAGAUGUAAUUGAGACAUGCUAUUCAGUUGUUGACUUGUUAUAUAAAACUUCUAAAUAACAAGUACUAGUACUAGUAUACAAGAACAACAACAAAGCCUUAUGUUCCAAGCAAGCUGGGGUAGAUGCUAGAGAUGCAACCCAACAGAAAACCCUGAGAACCUAAACGAGAAGCGAGAAAGCACAAAUAAUAAAUAAGCUAAAGCCCUUUUUGUGAGUUGGAUCUGCAUGGAUUCUUUGUUUCUCCACACAUGGCAAGUUAUUUAUCCGUCCGAUAUCUAAAGCCCUUUUGCUUUGCCUAUAUGUAGGACAGUUGUGCUUUUUUUUUUGUGUGUGUGUGUGUGUAAUAAGCACAUAAGCGGUGACAAAAUUUCUGCUCUCCCUCCUUAUCCAGAGUAAGAUAAGAAGCAAUUCAUGACACCAAACAAGUUACGAAAUAAAUCCUGCAAAUAUUCCUGAAUUUGGUUCAGGAUGCCCUUUCUUUGGGAAAGUUGAAAGAAAUACAGUAAUGCAAUGCAAUGUGCCGCGCCACAUGGUGAAGGGGGCUAAGCGAGAAGGGAGGGAAAAAGGAGGAGAGCGAGCUGCGGGGUCCUCACCUAUCGGCCGUAAGUAGCUGAGGCCAGCCGCCGGGCGCGGGCGCGGCACUCCCUCCUGGCGCCCCCCCGGUCGGGUGGGGUGGCCCUCCCUCGGAGCAGAGAGAAACAGAGGGGCGGGGGAUGUCCUCCGAGGGAGGACGAGUCCCAGUCUCGCCGCCUCCGCCGGCCGCCGGCCGAACCCCAGUCUCGCCGCCGACGCCGGCC
rnacentral:lncRNA from 1 species